UGAAGUGCAAGGACCCGACAACAAAUUGAUUUUAGCCCUAGUUGUUGGAUGACGCUCGAUGCUCACGCUCAUCGCCUUCAGCUUUCUCUUUAAUUGCUUUUCAAUUUUGAGUAUACAACGAUGGCAACAGUACUACAAGAACAUUGAUUGCCGGUUAUUAAGUGCUUUUUAUUUCGUUUAAUAUUAUGGAGGUCUAAUUCUUUGUUAUCAAAGAAUUUUCAAAAGUGUUUUUUAGUUCUUAGAAAUGAACAUGUACAACUUUGUUAGCCUAAAAAAUAAUAAUAUGGGCAGCUUUAAUCAAGAAAAAACACAUUUUGC